ensembl:lncRNA
GAUUCCGUGAGCAUCGCAGUGGCUGAGCCUGGAUCCCAAGCCCACCCCUGCAGAGGAAGAGCCAGGCCCAAGAAGACUCCAAGGACCUGACUGGCUCCUGAAGAGGGAUGGCAGGACUCAGAUCUAACGUCAGCUCUUCUGAAAGGCCCUCCCUCACCACUCAUUCUCAAGCUGUCCCCCGCUCCGGUCAUUUUGGUCCCAUCCUUCACAGGUCUUCCACCGUCUAAAAUGACCUUGUUUGUUAAUUUGCUUUAUGCUGCCUGUCUCCCCCACUGGACAGCAAGCCCCCGGAGGGCAAGGACUGUACUUACUCACGGCCGGAUAUGCCAUGGCUGGCACAGGGCUCACUGAACACUUACCAGGGAAAUCAACAAACGGGAGCAGAGAGAGGCAGAUGGGGAGCAUGGCUUGGCCAAGGAUGCCCAGAGAGGAGCCUGUGAAGUCAUCAAGGGCACAGAUGCCAACCUUUGCCUACUCUGGGGCCCCGGGUGGCAGCUGACUUGGAGCUUGGACCUGGAGCAGGCUGCCUGGGUCAACGCUCACUAACCGUGCCUCAGUUUCCUCAUACAUAAAGAGAUAAUCACGAUAAGAAUACAUUCUCAGGGGCUUGUUUGUAGGAUCAGAGGAGCUAAUACAUAUAAAGUGCUUAGAACAGGGCCUUAUCUCUGAUUGAUAGGUCAGUGCUCAACCCGUCCCUACCCCAACCACGACAAGGACAGGCCAGCAAGAGAGUUAAAGUAAUAAUCAGACAGACAAAUAAACGCAGCGUCCUAGGACCAGGUGCCAGGAGGUGUCGCCCCAGUGACUCCGACUCACCCUUGCAGAGCCCUUGACGUGUGAAGUGCAGGCACAGGUCUCCGACGGCACAGAGCCUCCUUCCUGCUCUCGCACCUGCCCCAGAGCUGGGGGACGGGGCCGCUGGCUCCCUGUGUGGUCCUGGUGAGUGACUGCCGCUCCCUGGACUUCAGUUUCCUGCCCUUUAAUUGGAAAUGAGAAUCCCAGAUGUGAAGCGGGUGGCAGUUUUGUCACUGCACAGGUGGGGAGCAGGUGCAAAGGCAUCCGGAGAAGGCCCUUUAAGGUCAUGCUUUGCAAACGUACAGGUUCCCCCAGUUAAGAAUAACCUGGGAAUUUUUUCUAAAAUGCAGUUUCUAAGGAUGCACCCCUUCCCCAGUUCUGAUUCUGUGACUCCGAGAGGGAGUCCUGGCGUGUUUUAAGAACCUCUUCAGGGGCAUUCCCCGGGCUGAGAGGUUGAGUUCGGGUGCCCUGCUUCGGUGGCCUGGGGUUCUGGGGUUCUGGGUUCAGAUUCUGGGCGCUCAUCAAGCCGCGCUGAGGCGGCAUCCCGCAUGGAAGAACAAGAGAGGCUUACAACUAGGAUAUGCAACUAUGUACUGGGGCUUUGGGGAGGAAAGAGAAAAAGAGGAAGAUUUGCAAAUAGAACCGCUUCGGGUGCCUCUGAGGUUGGAGCCAAUGGGAUGUAAUUGUACAUUCGUGCCACGAGAUGGAGCCACGAGCCCGGAGAAUGGUCUGACCCAGGCGGCUCCGAGCCCCGACGCUGCGUCACCAAGAGUGGCCACCAGAUGGCGCAGCCCGCCGGCAGGAGGGGCCGCUCCCCUGGCAGGAGGUGACGCCGGGACGGCCUCGCGGUGCAGCUUCCGUGGUUCCAGCCGUACACACGUCCUUCCCUGCGAGGCGGUUCAGCCCGGAGGAGGGGC